rnacentral:tRNA from 1 species
GGGCCGGUAGACCAACGGAAGGAGUCAUCAGUUUUAGAAACUGAGCAGUGUCGGUUCGAAUCCGACCCGGCCUACCA